GAUGAACGCUGGCGGCGUGCUUAACACAUGCAAGUCGAACGGAAAGGCUCCUGCUUGCAGGGGUACUCGAGUGGCGAACGGGUGAGUAACACGUGGGUGAUCUGCCCUGCACUUCGGGAUAAGCCUGGGAAACUGGGUCUAAUACCGGAUAGGACGAUGGUUUGGAUGCCAUUGUGGAAAGUUUUUCGGUGUGGGAUGAGCUCGCGGCCUAUCAGCUUGUUGGUGGGGUAAUGGCCUACCAAGGCGUCGACGGGUAGCCGGCCUGAGAGGGUGUACGGCCACAUUGGGACUGAGAUACGGCCCAGACUCCUACGGGAGGCAGCAGUGGGGAAUAUUGCACAAUGGGCGCAAGCCUGAUGCAGCGACGCCGCGUGGGGGAUGACGGCCUUCGGGUUGUAAAAUCCUUUCGCUAGGGACGAAGCGCAAGUGACGGUACCUGGAGAAGAAGCACCGGCUAACUACGU
rnacentral:rRNA from 1 species